UCUACGAGAAAUUAUAAGAGGUUAGAGAUUACCGGUGAUCGCGUGGUAUAUGUUCAGGAAUUGGAUGGUCUGUAGUCACUGUUGUAGGAAUUUACUCAUUUGUGCUAUCUAAGAAAAGUGUCAA